rnacentral:rRNA from 1 species
UUCCGGUUGAUCCUGCCGGACCUGACUGCUAUCGGAUUGAUACUAAGCCAUGCGAGUCGUUGUAGCAAUACAAGGCGGACUGCUCAGUAACACGUAGUCAACCUACCCUAUGGAUGGGGAUAACCNUCGGGAAACUGAGAAUAAUACCCAGUAGGCCAUUAUGCCUGGAAUGGUUUAUGGCUUAAAUGAUUUAUCGCCGUAGGAUGGGACUGCGGCCUAUCAGCUUGUUGGUGAGGUAAUGGCCCACCAAGGCUAUAACAGGUACGGGCUCUGAGAGGAGGAGCCCGGAGAUGGGUACUGAGACACGGACCCAGGUCCUAUGGGGCGCAGCAGGCGAGAAAACUUUGCAAUGUGCGAAAGCACGACAAGGUUAAUCCGAGUGAUUUCUGCUAAAGGAAUCUUUUGUCAGUCCUAAAAACACUGGUGAAUAAGGGGUGGGCAAGUUCUGGUGUCAGCCGCCGCGGUAAAACCAGCACCUCAAGUGGUCAGGAGGAUUAUUGGGCCUAAAGCAUCCGUAGCCGGCU